GAAAGAAAGAAAGGGCGCACGGGGGAUGCCUUGGCUCUCGCAGGCGAUGAAGGACGUGGUAAGCUGCGAUAAUCCGCGGGUAGGCGCAAACGGCCGUUGAUCCGCGGGUCUCCGAAUGGGACAACCCGCCGGGGUGAAGCCCCGGCACUCCGCUUGAUUGCGGAGGGCAUACGCGGGGAACUGAAACAUCUCAGUACCCGCAGGAAAAGAAAAUAAGCGAAUGAUUCCCCCAGUAGUGGCGAGCGAACGGGGAGCAGCCCAAACCGGCGCCGUCGAGGCGGCGCCGGGGUUGUAGGACCGCGCCGUCGGAGGGACACGUGCGAGCGGAACGCGCCGGACAGCGCGGCCGCAGAGGGUGAGAGCCCCGUACGCGCAGCGUGUGUUCCCCGUAGCGGUAUCCUGAGUAGCGCGGGACACGAGGAAUCCUGCGUGAAUCCGCCGGGACCAUCCGGCAAGGCUAAAUACAUGCGAGAGACCGAUAGUGCACUAGUACCGUGAGGGAAAGGUGAAAAGAACCUCGGGCAGAGGAGUGAAACAGAUCCUGAAACCGUGCGCCUACAAGCGGUCGGAGCACCAUUUUUGGGUGUGACGGCGUGCCUUUUGCAUAAUGAUCCUACGAGUUGCCGUCGCCGGCGAGGUUAAGGGGCGCGAGCCCCGCAGCCGGAGCGAAAGCGAGUCUGAAAAGGGCGCUGAGUCGGCGGAGGCAGACGCGAAACCGAGUGAUCUACCCUUGUCCAGGUUGAAGUCCCGGUAACACGGGAUGGAGGACCGAACCAAUAAGCGUUGAAAAGCUUCUGGAUGAGGUGAGGGUAGGAGUGAAAGGCCAAUCAAACUCGGAGAUAGCUCGUACUCCCCGAAAGGCAUUUAGGUGCCGCCUUGCGUGUGACUGCCAGAGGUAGAGCGACUGAUUGGAUGCGAGGGCUUCGCCGCCUGUCAAGUCCAGACAAACUCCGAAUGCUGUCAGUUUUAUCGCGGGAGUAAGGGUGCGGGUGCUAAGGUCCGCAUCCUAAAGGAGAACAAUCCGGACCACCGGCUAAGGCCCCGGAGUGCGUGUUAAGUUAAUCUAACGAGGUGCGGUUCCUGUGACAGCUAGGAUGUUGGCUUGGAAGCAGCCAUUCAUUCAAAGAGUGCGUAACAGCUCACUAGUCGAGGGACUGCGCGUGGAUAAUAAUCGGGUAUGAAACACGCCGCCGAAGCCGUGGGGGCGGUCAUUAUGGCCGUCCGGUAGGGGAGCAUUGCGCGUGCGGUGAAUGGUGUCCGUGAGGGUGCCUGGAGCGCGCGGAAAAGCAAAUGUAGGAAUAAGUAACGAUAAGGAGGGUGCGAUGCCCUCCCGCCGGAAGACUAAGGUUUCCUGGGCGACGCUAAUCGUCCCAGGGUCAGUCGGGACCUAAGGAUAAGCCGAAGGGCGAAGCCGAUGGAAGAAACGUUCAACAUUACGUUACUGGCGGCGCGUGCGACGCGGGGACGGAGAAGUGGAACCUCCGCGGCCUGACGGAACAGGCCGUUGAAGGGUGUAGGUGUCGAGGGGGGCAGGCAAGUCCACUCCCCGAGCCGAACCUGAGAGUAUGCGAGGCCUUCGGGCCGGGCAACAGCGAGGGUAAUCAAGCUCCCGAGAAAAUCCGCUAAGCAUCAGCGCGCCGGCACCCGUACCGCAAACGGACACACGUAGUCGGGUAGAGAAUACCGAGGCGCUUGGAAGACUCAUGGUUAAGGAACUAGGCAAACUGACCCUGUAACUUCGGGAUAAAGGGUCCUCGCCGUGUGGCGAGGCGCAGAGAAUAGGUCCAGGCAACUGUUUACCAAAAACACAGGGCUGUGCGAAAUAAAGAGAUGAAGUAUACAGCCUGACACCUGCCCGGUGCCGGAAGGUUAAGAGGAGGCGUCAGUCCCUUUAUGGGAUGAAGCGCUGAUUUGAAGCCCCGGUAAACGGCGGCCGUAACUAUAACGGUCCUAAGGUAGCGAAAUUCCUUGUCGGGUAAGUUCCGACCUGCACGAAU
rnacentral:rRNA from 1 species